rnacentral:rRNA from 1 species
UGGGGAAUCUUGGACAAUGGGCGCAAGCCUGAUCCAGCCAUGCCGCGUGAGUGAUGAAGGCCCUAGGGUCGUAAAGCUCUUUCGCCAGGGAUGAUAAUGACAGUACCUGGUAAAGAAACCCCGGCUAACUCCGCGCCAGCAGCCGCGGUAAUACGGAGGGGGUUAGCGUUGUUCGGAAUUACUGGGCGUAAAGCGCGCGUAGGCGGAUUGGAAAGUUGGGGGUGAAAUCCCGGGGCUCAACCCCGGAACUGCCUCCAAAACUCCCAGUCUUGAGUUCGAGAGAGGUGAGUGGAAUUCCGAGUGUAGAGGUGAAAUUCGUAGAUAUUCGGAGGAACACCAGUGGCGAAGGCGGCUCACUGGCUCGAUACUGACGCUGAGGUGCGAAAGUGUGGGGAGCAAACAGGAUUAGAUACCCCCGUAGUCC